GUAUGAUAAGUGGAUCAUAGCUGAGAAGAUAGCUCGUCGUUACCUUUUGGCAUCAAUUUCAAAUGUGUUAUAGCAAAAGCUUGAAAGUCGAGUGGUCUCCCAUGACAUACUAUAAAGCUUAAAGGGCAUGUUUUAACAUUAAAGUAGGAGGACUCAUUUUGAGGCCAUUCAUGUCUUAAAAAAUAUCUGCAUGAAAUCGAGAAUGCUUGUGAAAGAUCAUAUGUUGUAUAUAAUUGCAUACUUCAACAUGGGGGAAAAUAUUGGUAUAGUUAUUGAUGAGGAAACUAAAGUUGAUAUGAUAUUGAAUUCUUUGUCUAAUGUGUUUUCAUAGUUUACUAUGGGCUAUCACUUGUAUAAGAUGGAUAUUUUAUUUGUUGAGUUGAUGAACGAGUUACAAAAUAUGGGAAGUGGUCUUAAGGUUAAGAGUGACCAUGCUCAUGUGACAAUUGCUAGCUCUUCUGGUUCCAAGCCAAAAGGUGAAAUUGGAAAGAAGUAGAAGAGAUUUAACAAGAAGUCGAAUAGCAACAAAAGACCCAAAUCAGAUGAAACUCAAGAUGUAAGCCACUAUGUUCGCAAAGACACUGAAAGAAAGACUACUUGGAUAUACUAGCUAAAAAAAGGAUGCCAAUGAGUUUUUCAAUGUCGAGUAUUGUUUGGUGGUUGAUUUUACAAAUUUCUAGAUUGUGGACUCUGGAGCCACUAAUCAUAUAUGCAUUUUAGUGAAAGUGAUUUAGGAAAGCAGAAGACUUAGUGAGGACCAGUUUAAAACAAUUAUCGGCACAUAAGUUAUAGUUUCAACAAGAGCUGUAAAAGUAAUUUACUUUUAUAUUAGUAGUGGUACGAGUAUAAUUCUUAGAGACUGCUAUUAUGUCUCACGGAUGAAGC
rnacentral:lncRNA from 1 species